AUUGAACGCUGGCGGCAGGCCUAACACAUGCAAGUCGAGCGAGCGGCGGACGGGUGAGUAAUGUAUGGGGACUGCCCAAUAGAGGGGGAUAACUACUGGAAAGGGUGGCUAAUACCGCAUACUAUCGGAUAACCCAUAUGGGAUUAGCUAGUAGGUGGGGUAAAGGCUCACCUAGGCGACGAUCUCUAGCUGGUCUGAGAGGAUGAUCAGCCACACUGGGACGGAGACACGGCCCAGACUCCUACGGAGGCAGCAGUGGGGAAUAUUGGACAAUGGGCGCAAGCCUGAUGCAGCCAUGCCGCGUGUAUGAAGAAGGCCUUCGGGUUGUAAAGUACUUUCGGCGGGGAGGCGUUACCCGCAGAAUAAGCACCGGCUAACUCCGUGCCAGCAGCCGCGGUAAUAC
rnacentral:rRNA from 1 species